CAGUCGCCGCGGGAACACGGAGGGGGCUAGCGUUGUUCGGAAUUACUGGGCGUAAAGCGCACGUAGGCGGCUUGGUAAGUUAGAGGUGAAAGCCUGGAGCUCAACUCCAGAAUUGCCUUUAAGACUGCCGAGCUAGCAGGUGAGAGAGGUAAGCGGAAUUCCGAGUGUAGAGGUGAAAUUCGUAGAUAUUCGGAAGAACACCAGUGGCGAAGGCGGCUUACUGGCUCAUACUGGACGCUGAGGUGCGAAAGCGUGGGGAGCAAACAGGAUUAGAUACCCCUGUAGUCCCUGUCUCUUAUAC
rnacentral:rRNA from 1 species